ensembl:lncRNA
UGAGGGAGUGUGCAUUUGGCAUGUUGACUGCAGGAAUGUCCACCAGAGCUGUUGCCAGAGAAUUUAAUGUUAAUUUCUCUAUCAUAACAAUGUGUAACCAUGUCGUUUUAGAGAAUUUGGCAGUACAUCCAACUGGCCUCACAACUGCAGACCACAUGUAAUCACGUCAGUGCAUACAGCCCUGCUGUGUUUGCACUCAACAUGCUGAGGCAGCAGCUGGCUCUCACCAGACACUUUGUCCAGACCAGCCGCCACCUCCACUCCCUGCAGACUACACAUACACCACACUGGAGGACACCAAGGAGUUCAUUGGCUGUCACAAGCCUCCCAAACUGACCACGGAGGCG